AGUGAACGCUGGCGGUAGGCCUAACACAUGCAAGUCGAACGGCAGCACAGUAAGAGCUUGCUCUUACGGGUGGCGAGUGGCGGACGGGUGAGGAAUACAUCGGAAUCUACUUUUUCGUGGGGGAUAACGUAGGGAAACUUACGCUAAUACCGCAUACGACCUACGGGUGAAAGCAGGGGAUCUUCGGACCUUGCGCGAUUGAAUGAGCCGAUGUCGGAUUAGCUAGUUGGCGGGGUAAAGGCCCACCACGGCGACGAUCCGUAGCUGGUCUGAGAGGAUGAGCAGGCACAAGGGAACUGAGACACGGUCCAGACUCCUGCGGGGGGCAGGAGUGGGGAAUAGUGGACAAUGGGCGAAAGCCUGAUCCAGCCAUGCCGCGUGGGGGAAGAAGGCCGUCGGGGUGGAAAGCGCUUGUGUUGGGAAAGAAAAGCAGCAGGUUAAUACCCCGCUGUUCUGGCGGUACCCAAAGAAUAAGCACCGGCUAACGUCG
rnacentral:rRNA from 1 species